rnacentral:lncRNA from 1 species
CCGAGGCGCGGGCCGUGUGCCGCUGGGUGGCCCUGCGAGCCGCCGCUCUCCGCCUCUCUAGGCUCAGCUUCCAUCACCGCGUGGCGGAGCCCGUGUCCGGGCCAGCUGCCCAAUUUCAAGGGUCUGAAGAAGUCCUACUUCUCCGCUUCAGAAGAAUAGUCGCACUGUACACCCACCACAGACAAGUGGAAUGAAACCAGAGGGAAGCAAAGGCACAGAAGGGCGAGGCUGUCUAGAUGGAGAGAGGAAAUCCACCGUGCGGGGACUGUCACUAAGUUUCAUUAAAACCGAAAUGAAGUCAUACAUUCAACCACGUAGACUGUUUUUUUUUCCUUUCCUACUGUUUUUGCCCAUCAGGCAGGCGUGGCCUCUUGUUGGCCAGAAACUCAAAGGUGGAAACUGACACUUAUUUAAC